GACCUGCCCACUGAGAUUAUUAUUGAAGGGCCGCAGUAUUUUGACUGUGCAAAGGUAGCAUAAUCAUUAGUCUUUUAAUUAAAGGCUGGAAUGAAUGGUUGGACGAGGUAAAAACUAUCCUAUAAUGAGGAGUAGAAAUUAAUUUUUGAAUAAAAAAGUUCAAAUGCAUUUGAGUGACGAGAAGACCCUAUAGAGUUUAACAUUAAUUUGUUAAUAAUAAUUUGUUAAUAUAUAAUUUAUGUAUUAUGGAAAGUAAAUGUUUUGUUGGGGUGAUUGGAAAAUAUAAAAAACUUUUCUUUUAGAUUAAUAUUUAAUAAGUAGUAAUAAUUGAUCCAUUAAAAGUGAUUAUAAGAUUAAAUUACCUUAGGGAUAACAGCGUAAUCUUUUUUGAGAGUUCUUAUUGAGAAAAAGGUUUGCGACCUCGAUGUUGGAUUAAGAUAAAUGUUGAAUGUAGCUGUNCAAAUUAUUAGGUCUGUUCGACCUUUAAAUUCUUACAUGAUCUG
rnacentral:rRNA from 1 species